CAACCUUGCUUUCUACUCUUGUUAAUGUUGCUUAAUUUUCUUCUCGUUCUUGUGGUAUGAUGAUGGUAUCAUUCUGUUUUUCUUCUAUUAUAUGCCUUUAUCAUUGAUGCUUGAAAGCCGUGUUUUUCCGUGCUUUGCAUGAUCUUUUUGUGGCGUUUCUGCGUGUUCCUUGUGGCCGUUUUCGGUUUCUGGAUAUAGGGAUGGUGGUUCUUUGGUUUCAAUCUUUGCCUCAGUCUCGAGUAGUCCAGGUUUCUUUUCCUUGUUCAUGUUAAGUGGUUAUGUGUUAGAUAGAGAAGGGGUUGGUCCAUUUGUCUCGAUUUUCUUUGGUUGGAAUGUGUGGGUUUUGUGUAUGAUUCAUGGUGGAUGAGUGCAGCAUGGUGGAGUGCUUUCAUGUUAUACGUAACAGCCCUAAGUUAAGGUAUAAGAAACUUUAAAGUCUGGGAUGGAAUGGGGCACUUUGGAGAGAAGCAGAAAUUUCGUCAGGGUGUUGGGUUGCAAAGGAGGGCCAUACAAAAGUGUAUGGGUCGCGACUUUGGAUAUCACUUAGGUAUUUGCAGUGUUGAGUUGAGUGGAGUUGUAUUCUCCAAGUGUUUUUCUUUUCCGUUUCAUUAAUUGAUGUUUUUAGGUGGAGGUUUUAUGUGUGGGCAUAAGCCAAACUAGCUUAAGAUGUAGGAAACUUUUAGCUUUGAUGGGAUGUAUAUGUUAGGGGUAGCAAGGGUUUUUUUGUUGGUUUUAUUAAUGGGUCAUGGUUUCUCAUGUUUUAUGAAAUGUGUGGUUGGUGUAUGGAUGGGUUCACAUGUUUUGUUCUUUUCUCUCAAGUUUUUGGAGUGCUUUCAUGAUAUACAUGCAAAAUUUUAUGCUCCUUCCUUCCUUUUCUAUUUAACAUUACGUAAAUACAUUUUAUAGCAUUGUGGGUAGUUUAGUUUUUGUCUUUUAGCAUGAUUGGGAGCAGCUUUACGAAACUGAAAUCGUCACAUGCACAUUCAAUUCUUUCUUUUCUCUUUCUUCUCUCAUUCCAUUUAUAGGUGACACGUAAAUGCAAGGUAUGUAGGGGUCACGGGUUUGUUUUGUCUCUUUCCUUUAAACCAUUCAUGUGACUUUUUGAGGGAGGGGUAUCCUUUAAAUGAAUUGGUGCAGACCGUGCCAUGUUUUCUUCCUUUCUCUUUUGGAUUCGUUUUUUUGUCAUUAAAGGAUACAAAAUCCUUAGUUUUUCCUCUUGUUGUCAUGCGUGAAAGGAAUAGGUGCAGCGGAAUUAGAAAUGACACGUACGACGGUAAUGCAGAUAUUUCUGACUCGAAGUAGAUAUCGGAAAGGAUGGAGUGGACUCGGGGAUUUAUGGCUUAUUUUGUUGAUUUAAAUCAAACAGUGAAGACUAUGAAAUUUUCUUUUAAUUUCUAGUAUUUAGUUGGAACUUUGGUUAUUUAAUAUUAUUAUUAUUUCAAAUUAA